rnacentral:ncRNA from 1 species
GAAAAGUUUGAUUCUAGCUUAGAAAUUUAUACUAUAAAUUUUAUACAUGUAAAUUUUGGCAGUAUUUAGUAUUACAAAAAAUUAUAUAAAGAUGUAAAAUUUUAUUUUAUACUAGGAUAAAGAUGUGCCAGCAUCUGCGGUUAGACAUUAUAUUUAAAUUAAUUUAUUAUCUAAAAUUGUAGCUUUUUAUUUAUUUAAUAAGAUUUAAUUUUGGUGAAAUAAAGUAUUUCUUUAAAAUAAUUUAUUUCAAUUUGAAAGUUAUUUUUAAAAAACUAGGAUUAGAUACCCUAUUAUUUUUAAUGGUUUUAAGUAGUAGUAAUUAUGAAACUUAAAGAAUUUGGCGGUAAUUUAUUUCUUAUCAGAGGAACCUGUUCUAUAAAAGAUACUACACUAUUUAUUUUACUUUAAUUAAUUUUAUAUACCGUUGUUUUAAAAAUUAAUUUUAUAAUUAGUUUAAUUUUUUUAAUAAAAAAUAAUUCAAAUCAAGGUUUAGUUUAUAUUAAAGAAGAAAUGGGUUACACUAUAUUUUUAUGUGGUAAAAAAAUGGAUUUGAAAUUAAUUUAUUUUAUUUAUAUAUUUGAAUUAAGCUCUAAGUUAUGUACACAUCGCCCGUCGCUCUAAUUAUGAAAUUAGAUAAGUCGUAACAAAGUAGACGUUCCGGAAGGGGCAUCUUGU